rnacentral:rRNA from 1 species
GUGGGGAAUAUUGGACAAUGGGCGAAAGCCUGAUCCAGCCAUGCCGCGUGUGUGAAGAAGGUCUUCGGAUUGUAAAGCACUUUAAGUUGAGAGGAAGGGCAGUAAGUUAAUACCUUGCUGUUUUGACGUUACCAACAGAAUAAGCACCGGCUAACUUCGUGCCAGCAGCCGCGGUAAUACGAAGGGUGCAAGCGUUAAUCGGAAUUACUGGGCGUAAAGCGCGCGUAGGUGGUUCAGCAAGUUGAAGGUGAAAUCCCCGGGCUCAACCUGGGAACUGCCUCCAAAACUACUGAGCUAGAGUACGGUAGAGGGUAGUGGAAUUUCCUGUGUAGCGGUGAAAUGCGUAGAUAUAGGAAGGAACACCAGUGGCGAAGGCGACUACCUGGACUGAUACUGACACUGAGGUGCGAAAGCGUGGGGAGCAAACAGGAUUAGAAACCCUAGUAGUCC